AAAGAAAGGUGAAGGAAAAGAUUUGCUAGGAGCAGCCAUAGAAGUAGUUCCACCACAGGGUCGUCUUUUUGCCCCCAAAAACCCAUUAAAAGGGAGAAGCCAAUAGUCUUUUCCUCUCUCUGGUUCUGUGUAGUUAAAACUUCGAAGUGAAGGGUAAAAUUCAAGGACUUUAAUAAGCCAGAACUUUAAUAAGCCAGAACUUUUGCCUGGUGCUCUCAUUUUUGCAUUUAAUAAAGGUAUGUUCUUUCUGAUCUUUAAAUGUUUGCUGGAAUUUAUUAUUGUUGGGUUCGUUUUCGGUUAUGAGUUCUCAGUGAUGAUGUUCUUUUAGGUUGGUUUUAAAACGUAGUUAAAGAAGGGAACUUGAGCUGUGGGUUUUAGUGCUUGGUUUGGUAUUUGUGGAAAGUGGAAACUAUGAACUGCGAGAUACUAAAUAUUUGUUUGCCUUUUCGUGUUAAUUUUAUCCUCAGGAACCAGACACAGCGUAGGUUAGAUGGCGCAGUUAUAUUUUUUAGGAUUGUAACUGCUUUCUGUUUCAUAUAUUUAUUUUAGUUCUGCAAAUUCUUUGUGGUUGCUUGUUUGCUUGUUUAAAGGCUCUGAAUUCAUCUGCAAGUUCCAUGCUUUUAACAAUUUUAUGGUAGUUUUGUUGCAACUUCUUUAAAUGGAAUAUCGGUGUUUUGAUUUCUGUUCCUCCCAAAAAUUGCUUAUAUUAAACAAACCCAUAUUUCCUUUCUUGUUUAAGUGUUUGAAAUUGAAAGUGUUUUUGAAUGUUCUUCGUUACAAUUUUGUAGAAAAAAAAGGGAGUUCGAACAAGGCCUGAUAAAGGAGAACUAUUUCGAUGUGCAGUGGGUCAAAGACAACAACUCAUUCUGGUUUCAUCAUGGAGAAGAAUGAAUUUCAACGACAAGAUGGGUUUUGCUGUGAUCUCUCUUUUCUGCUCGAAUUGUCUGCCUCGAAUGAUCUGAUUGGGUUUAAGAGAGAAAUUGAAGGAGGCCGUGAUGUUGAUGAGCUAGGCUUGUGGUAUGGAAGGAGAAUUGGCUCAAAAAAGAUGGGGUAUGAGGAGCGGACACCCCUUAUGAUUGCUGCCUUAUAUGGAAGCAAAGAUGUGCUGAAAUAUAUCUUAGAAAUGGGCUGUGUUGAUGUUAAUAGGUGUUGUGGGUCUGAUGGGGCCACGGCGCUUCAUUGUGCUGCUGCAGGUGGUUCUGUUUCUUCUCUUGAGGUUGUUAAGCUCUUGCUCGAUGCCUCUGCUGAUCCUAAUACUGUUGAUGCAAAUGGAAAUAAUGCUAGUGACUUGCUUGUUCCAUUUGUUAGUUCUGGUUCUAAUUCAAGGAGAAAGGCACUAGAGCUUGUGCUAAAGGGUGGUUGUUAUAGUGAUGAAUCUUGUGUUUUGGCUAAUCAGAAUCCUAAUGAAAUUGAUAGGCAAGAACAACAGGAAGUUUCAACACCCAUAUUUUCAAAAGAUGGUACUGAAAAGAAAGAGUAUCCUGUUGAUCUCACUCUUCCAGAUAUCAAGAAUGGCAUAUAUGGUACUGAUGAAUUUAGAAUGUAUACGUUUAAGGUGAAGCCUUGCUCUAGGGCAUAUUCCCAUGAUUGGACGGAAUGCCCAUUUGUUCACCCUGGUGAAAAUGCUAGGCGGCGAGAUCCAAGGAAAUACCAUUAUAGCUGUGUCCCAUGCCCUGAGUUUCGAAAGGGGUCAUGCAGGCAGGGUGAUGCUUGUGAGUAUGCACAUGGUAUUUUUGAGUGCUGGCUUCACCCUGCACAAUAUCGAACACGUCUGUGCAAAGAUGAGACUAGUUGUGCAAGAAGGGUUUGUUUUUUUGCUCACAAGCCUGAAGAGCUUCGCCCCUUGUAUGCCUCAACGGGUUCGGCUGUGCCUUCACCUAGAUCCUUCUCAGCCAAUGUUUCAGCGCGGGACAUAGGUUCUAUCAGUCCACUUGCUCUUGGUUCUCCAUCUAUCUUGAUACCAGCUACUUCAACACCACCGAUGACUCCCUCUGGGUCCUCAUCUCCUAUGGGUGGAUGGCCAAACCAGUCUAAUAUUAUACCUCCUACCUUGCAGCUUCCUGGUAGCAGGUUGAAAUCUGCACUGAGUGCUAGAGAUCUGGAUUUAGACAUGGAGUUGCUUGGGCUUGAUAGUCACCAUCGCUGGCAACAACAAUUGAUGGAUGAGAUAUCUGGUCUCUCCUCACCCUCCAGUUGGAAUAAUGGUUUGUCUACUGGUUCAGCUUUUGCCGUCUCUGGUGAUCGAACUAUAGAGUUGAAUAGGCUUGGACGAGUGAAGCCAACUAACCUUGAAGAUAUUUUUGGAUCUCUUGAUCCUUCAAUUUUGCCUCAAUUGCAGGGACUUUCGGUGGAUGCCUCAGCAUCCCAAUUACAAUCUCCAAAAGGAAUUCAGAUGCACCAGAACAUUAACCAGAAGCUCCGCCCUAGUUACCCCACCAACUUCUCAUCUUCUCCUGUGAGGACAUCGUCCUUUGGGAUUGAUGCAUCUGGGGCAGCAGCAGCAGCAGUUUUGAAUUCGAGGUCUGCUGCCUUUGCUAAGCGGAGCCAGAGUUUCAUUGAACGAAGUGCUGUGAACCGUCAUACUGGGUUUUCUUCACCAACAUCUUCUGCAACCACAAUGCCUUCUAAUCUUUCAGACUGGGGUUCCCCUGAUGGCAAAUUGGACUGGGGUGUCCAAGGAGAGGAGCUUAAUAAGCUGCGGAAGUCUGCUUCUUUUGGCAUUCGAAGCAAUGGCAGCAGUUUGGCAACAGCUGCAGUCUCAGCGCCUGCAAUUCUCUAUGAGCCAGAUGUGUCAUGGGUUCAGUCCCUGGUAAAGGAUACCCCUCCUUUGAAUUCUGGGCACUUGGGUGUUGAGGAACAGCAGCAACAAUGCCAUCUUAACACUGGUGGUUCAGAAAUGCUUCCAGCUUGGGUGGAGCAAUUGUGCAUUGAGCAGGAGCAGAUGGUGGCUUAAAGCAACAGAAGCCCCCAGUUGGCUCCUAAUUUAACAUUUUAACUAGUUUAUUUUUUCUAUUUUUUUAAUAUUUAUUAGUUUCAACUUCUAUCUAGCGGCAAGAAAUUGAAGAAAGAAAAGAAAAAAAGAAGAAAAAGGGCAAAGGUCCAAGGGGAGAAAACAAAGAAGCUGGGCAGAAUGAAGGACAUCUGCUCAUGGCGAUACGCUUUUUCUAGUUAAUUUGGUUCUGUUGUAACUAGAGUUAAUAUAUUCUUCUGAAGCAUAUUCUUGUGCUGAUGAGAGAAGGGCUAGAUGGUGCAGAGUACCUUAUUUCCGGGUGGCCUAUUCUUUGGUUUAUUUUUACUUAUUGUAGGUUUGUAUACAUCUCAUUGUACUAUAAAGCUGUUACGUUAAUUACUGAAUUCAAUAUGUUUCAAAUUUCAGUAUAUCAACAUUUCUCUGUUAUGCUUAUGCAAGCAUUUGCUAAAAAUGCUUUCACAUUGACAUCACCACCUUCUUGUUUCUAUUUGAGCACACUAAAGCUGGAAAAUUAUGCUAGUGGAUAUUGGUAUUUAGGUGUAGUUUGUAUAUGGUGCCCUAUGGCUGGAAAAGAAUGAAUGUAGACACUGGCAUUCAGCUUUCAACAUCAAACAUGUGUCAGCUUCC
rnacentral:misc_RNA from 1 species